UGAGGAAUAUUGGUCAAUGGGCGCGAGCCUGAACCAGCCAAGUAGCGUGCAGGAUGACGGCCCUAUGGGUUGUAAACUGCUUUUGAAGGGGAAUAACGUGCUCCACGUGCUGGGGCAGUGCAUGUACCUUUCGAAUAAGGAUCGGCUAACUCCGUGCCAGCAGCCGCGGUAAUACGGAGGAUCCGAGCGUUAUCCGGAUUUAUUGGGUUUAAAGGGUGCGUAGGCGGACUUUUAAGUCAGUUGUGAAAUGUCGGCGCUCAACGCCGUCACUGCAGUUGAAACUGGAGGUCUAGAGAGUGCAAGAGGCAUGCGGAAUUCAUGGUGUAGCGGUGAAAUGCAUAGAUAUCAUG
rnacentral:rRNA from 1 species